CCUACGGGGGGCAGCAGUGGGGAAUAUUGGACAAUGGGCGAAAGCCUGAUCCAGCCAUGCCGCGUGUGUGAAGAAGGCCUUCGGGUUGUAAAGCACUUUCAGUGGGGAAGAAAGCCUUGGGGCUAAUACCCUCGAGGAAGGACAUCACCCACAGAAGAAGCACCGGCUAACUCCGUGCCAGCAGCCGCGGUAAUACGGAGGGUGCGAGCGUUAAUCGGAAUUACUGGGCGUAAAGCGCGCGUAGGCGGUCUGAUAAGCCGGUUGUGAAAGCCCCGGGCUCAACCUGGGAACGGCAUCCGGAACUGUCAGGAUAGAGUGCAGGAGAGGAAGGUAGAAUUCCCGGUGUAGCGGUGAAAUGCGUAGAGAUUGGGAGGAAUACCAGUGGCGAAGGCGGCCUUCUGGACUGACACUGACGCUGAGGUGCGAAAGCGUGGGUAGCAAACAGGAUUAGAUACCCUAGUAGUC
rnacentral:rRNA from 1 species